GCGGACGGCGCUGAAGCCAGUCGAAGAUACCAGCUGGCUGCAACUGUUUAUUAAAAACACAGCACUGUGCAAACACGAAAGUGGACGUAUACGGUGUGACGCCUGCCCGGUGCUGGAAGGUUAAUUGAUGGGGUUAGCGCAAGCGAAGCUCCUGAUCGAAGCCCCAGUAAACGGCGGCCGUAACUAUAACGGUCCUAAGGUAGCGAAAUUCCUUGUCGGGUAAGUUCCGACCUGCACGAAUGGCGUAAUGAUGGCCAGGCUGUCUCCACCCGAGACUCAGUGAAAUUGAACUCGCUGUGAAGAUGCAGUGUACCCGCGGCAAGACGGAAAGACCCCGUGAACCUUUACUAUAGCUUGACACUGAACAUUGAGCCUUGAUGUGUAGGAUAGGUGGGAGGCUUUGAAGUGUGGACGCCAGUCUGCAUGGAGCCAACCUUGAAAUACCACCCUUUAACGUUUGAUGUUCUAACCUAGGCCCAUAAACUGGGUCGGGGACCGUGUCUGGUGGGUAGUUUGACUGGGGCGGUCUCCUCCUAAAGAGUAACGGAGGAGCACGAAGGUUGGCUAAGCAUGGUCGGACAUCAUGCGGUUAGUGCAAAGGCAUAAGCCAGCUUGACUGCGAGAGUGACGGCUCGAGCAGGUACGAAAGUAGGUCUUAGUGAUCCGGUGGUUCUGAAUGGAAGGGCCAUCGCUCAACGGAUAAAAGGUACUCCGGGGAUAACAGGCUGAUACCGCCCAAGAGUUCAUAUCGACGGCGGUGUUUGGCACCUCGAUGUCGGCUCAUCACAUCCUGGGGCUGAAGUAGGUCCCAAGGGUAUGGCUGUUCGCCAUUUAAAGUGGUACGCGAGCUGGGUUUAGAACGUCGUGAGACAGUUCGGUCCCUAUCUGCCGUGGGCGUUGGAAGAUUGAGAGGGGUUGCUCCUAGUACGAGAGGACCGGAGUGAACGCACCACUGGUGUUCGGGUUGUCAUGCCAAUGGCAUUGCCCGGUAGCUAAGUGCGGAAGAGAUAACCGCUGAAAGCAUCUAAGCGGGAAACUUGCCUCGAGAUGAGUCUUCCCUGUCGCUUUAAGCGACCUAAAGGAACGUUUAAGACUAAGACGUUGAUAGGCUGGGUGUGUAAGCGUAGCGAUACGUUGAGCUAACCAGUACUAAUGAACCGUGAGGCUUAACCUG
rnacentral:rRNA from 1 species